GCUGGGUGCAGCAGCGUAUGCCUGUAAUCCCAGUGGCUCAGGAAGCUGAGGUAGGAGGAUCACAGGUUCGAGGCCAGCCAGGGCAACUUACCAAGAUCCUAUCUCAA
rnacentral:sRNA from 1 species